AGUGUUUUUGUGUGUUGAGAAGAGUUGUUGAUAGAGGAAGCCAUGGAUAUUGAUGCAAAUUAAGAUCCAAUUGCUCAAAAUAAAGGAACCAAUCCUCAAAACGAGGAACCCCAAGCUCAAAAUAAUCAGGUAAACAUCUUGUACCCUUCGAUUUGUGUGUUUGUUGCUCCAAGUGGUCAAAUCAGCCCCACUAUGGAACAACUCAGUGUAAGGGUCGUCAGAGUCGGGGUGUGUAUACCCUAACGACUCUACGGGGUUGUUAGUAUAUUGACACUAGCAAUAACGACUCAAACCUGCCACUUUUCCAGGUUAUGAAAAAUCGUUAGGGUAGUGUGGUACAGAUUGACGACCCUUUUUAUCUAGGUUACCUAGAGUCGUUAUGUUUUUUGGUUAACACAGGAACAACUCUAAUACUUUGGACAAUGAGUAUUUUUGUUUUGCAACUAGGGUCGUCAUCUAAGUGUAACGACUCUAAUCUAAACCAAAAGAGUUCAAUGACGACUCAAAUAUAUCUACUGACGACACUUCCAAUUUUGAAGACAGAGGGACUGUUCUUAGUCGAGUUAGGGUCGUCAAUAGAUUCGAUUACAGAAGUAACGACCCAAAUCUAGACCAAAAAAUUGUAGUAGCAGAAUUAGGGUCAUUAAUUAGAACAUCAUACAGCUUAACGAUUUUUCAUAGGGUAUACAUGCAUACGAAGAAUCGUUAGGGUAUAAGAAAUUACAGACUGACGAUCCAAUUUAGGGUUAGCAAACUUUCCUUUGUACUCAUUGGUUCGAGCCAUGUUUGUAGGAAAAAGUUAAUCAUCAAUUAAAGUUUUUCGUAUCGACGAUUGCGAUGAAUCAACAAUUUUUUUUUUUUUGUCGUUAAUGAAGGAGAGGGAGAAUUUGGGUAGGAGAUGAAGAGAGGGGAAGAGAGUUUUCUGAUUUUGGAUUUAGAAAAUAAAUUGGGUGUAAAUUGAUUUUUUAGUAGUAAGGAUAAAAUAGUAUAAUCACCACCUUUUGGAACCUCCUAAAUUUUUUGGUGUGGAUAUAAAUUGGUCAGGGCCCCUAAUUGUUUUUAGGGGCCCCCAAUUUAACGAGGACUCAUAACUAUGGACACAAUCAAAUAUCUUUUGAGGUCCAGCAGAAGGUGAAAACUGAAAACCCUAGAAACAAAUUCAGAUCAUCAACACCAGCAGUAGUAAGGUUCUUCUAAAAUGGAAGGUGGUGUAAGAGAAAUUGUUAAUUGUUAGUUGUUGUUACUAAAGACACGGGUAAUUCAGCAGAAUAAGAAGAAGAAGAAAAGGAAGAAGAACAAAAUGCAUAAUUUAUGUUGGAUAUUCGGUAGGAGCGGAAUAGGAGCGGAAUCGGAAAUGGAUGAACCAAGAAGCAGAGUAAGAAAUGCAGAGGCAAUUGCUUUUCUUUCUCCUAGGAAACUCUCUUCCAAUAAUGCCUGAGGUACUGUCUUCCAACAUCAGAACAGCAGAACUUCUAUUAACGGAAAGGAAAAUGGAAAUUCUCAUUCCACAGACAGUUCGGUACUUAUUGUUAACUGGAACCAUUCUGGGAUUGUCAGUGUUAAAACCUUAGUCAUUCUCAAGAAUGAAGGUCGAAACAUACUCAUUUAUGGAGAGGAAGGGAGCCUUGAAGGUGGCAUCAACCAUGAUGUCACCGCCGCAGCACCUUUUGUGAAAAUAAACACCAUCUCCUUAGCUCAUGCAUAUGAUAAUGGGACCUAUGCGUGUGUUCGAUUCGAUGACGAAGGUUGUCUGAACUCUAUUUGAACAGGUAGGGUCAGAGGAUUGGUUAGGAGGUGAUCGCACAGCAUUAUUAUUUGGCAUCACUUGCGAAUCAAUUUAUACCUCCUUGUCCUGUAGCCAAAACUCUACCUUCCAUAACGAAGAUGGACAUCUCAGUGGAAAGCUAUUGUAUGGGUACAGGAGGAGGGAAUGCCUCUGAGAAGUUAUGAGCGGGAUGAACUUCAGGUGGACAUACUCAGCAUAAAGCUAUUAGGCUGGUCAUGGUCUGUCUAUACUGACAAUCGGAGAUUCAAACCGUUCGGGAAGCUUACAAUGACAACCAGCAACAGAACUUGAGAAAACAGAGUUGGCAGUAUGAGCGGACUCGGAAAUACUGGUUUCACCUUAUCAUUCAUCAGCUUUCGGAGCUUAAUUUGGUCCUAGAUUUCUCUGAAGGUUUUUGGAUUCAAGAUCAGAAUCGACUCUGUUCACUGCUGUUGUUUUGAAGAUUCAGUUCCUCCUCAUUCCUUGAUGAACUGAUAUUUUUUCAUGAAAAACAAAUGUUUUGCAUUCCAAUUAAAAGUCGUAAAUCAAUUCAAGGUUCUGAGACGGGAUCAUCACUACACCCAUUGGGAUAAACAAGCUCGGGAGAAUAAGAAAAGGCUGUGGGCCGAACUUCAGGGUUUUUUUGGUACUAGAUGAAAGUUGUAAAAUAGCUACCUUGUCUAUUUCCCUGUGGAAUAUAUAGGAACAUGAAAACUUAAUGGAAAAAAAAUUACUAAGCUCCCCACGAUACAAAUGGAAUGUGUCUUGCUGAUGAACCCAAUGGGUUAAAUUGCAGAGAGUGGAAAGAUCUUCUGUAAUUUUGGACUACUUACCAUCAGCAAUGUCAAAAGAAGGAAGGCAUGAAAAGGCCAAGCACACAAUGGGGCAGAAAACUUUUCUCGAUGCAAAUCUAAAUUGUAAUGGUAUUGCUAUUGGAUUGGUCAAAGGCAAUCUUCUGGGCAAUCUUGCACCAAAGAAUGGACGUUCUGCAUUCCAAUUAAGCGUUGUAAAUGAAUUCAAGUUUCGGAGAUGGGAUCAUCACUAUACCCAUUGGGAUAAGCAAGCUCGGGAGAGAAUAAGAAAUGCUUUGGGCCGUACUUCAGGAAUAAGAAGACUAAAUGGAAAAGACAUCACUAUACACCUCAAGAUCCAAAUGAAAUGGGUCUUGCAGAUAAACCGAAUGCCCUAAGCGACAGGGAGUUGAAGGAUCCUCUAAAAUUUUGGACUACUGAAUAGCAUCAGGUACUUUCUGAGUGCAAUAUCAAAUGAAGAAACCAUCAAAAAGCCUAGCACGCAAUAGGGAGGAAAAACUUUUCUAGAUGCAAAUCUGAAACGACGAGGUAACUAGUACUACUGUUGGUUCUCCGCCGGAGGGAGGGUCAUGUAUGUCCAAUGACAAGGGAUGCAGGUGGACCAACUGGGACAGACAGAGCAGCUAGAGGUCUAUCAUGCAGUGGUUGUAUCAAAAAAUGUUUCAAGAAAUGCGGGAAGAGCAAAACAAAAAUAGAUCUAGCUUGCAGGCAAAUGACUGCUACUGAGUGGGGAUGUGGUUGCUGUUGUUCCAACGAUCAUUAUGCACCAAUCUAGUAAUGUUAAACAGUACUGUGGACUACGGAUGCAACGACCAAGCACAGUUCCUUUCUUUGAGUCGUUGAUUUGUAUUGUAUUCUAUAAUUAGCUUGUCUUCUCUCCUCUGCUUUCGUUUCACUGUUUUCAUUAUAAAUAAGUGUGCGUUUUGUUUCUUUGGUGCUUGCUCACCAAUAUCCUCUGAAUGAUUUAGUUAUUUCUUA